CGAAGGAUAUGAACAGACACUUCUCACCAUCUUCUUUAUCAAGAAAAGAUGAAGGUCUAUGUCUAUCUUUGGUUCUUAUACCAAUCCAAGCCCUUCUCCAUUCCUUCUUAUCUCCAACAGAAUAGAAAUGCCUCAAGGCCAAGAAAAGAGUCAUCUCCCUUUUGACUUCCAUUCUUUAGUUUUUAAAAUGUAUAUCUACAUAUACUGAGCACUUCAGUUUAUGCUGUUGAUUUGGUGACUGACAAGAACUAGGACUCUAUCAAGUGGCUUGAAAACACUGAUUUAUAUCAUCUAGGUCACGGGAGGAAUUCAAAGAGCCUCCAACUACAACCAGUGAGAAAAACAGUGGAGGAUCACAAAACAGUCCCGGGUGCUCCCAGGAAUUUGGGCUUUAUCCUCCUACCACCUCCUCUUAGCCUUCCUUGUGGGUGACUCACCAAGGCUGAGUGCUCACUUCAUGCACAGGACAUUUUGAAUGUGGAGAUGUACAUCUCUUAGAAAGUCCUUGAUACAGUUGUUCAUCCUCUUCUUCGUGAUGCAGGCUUUACUUUGUCAGUAUUAGCUGAUAACUUUUCAGAAUUUAGGCAUCCCCAGAGGGAAAUUACUUGCUCUUGGUGUGUUUCUUACUCAUUCUUCCCCACAGCUACUUCUCUGCAACCACAGCUCCCUCCUCUACUAAGUUCCCUGUGGAAUACAUAUUCUAAAAACAUUUUAUUUCAACUUUUAAUUGUCCUUCUAGUUCCUAGCAUAAUGAGCCCUUCUGUAACUCUUUUAUAUCUUUUACUGCCCUUCAAUGCUGUGGCAUCACUGAGGACUUUUAGUAGAAGUUGGGAUUCAGAAACAUUUACUUUUCUGACCUGGUGAGAAGGGACUGAAAGUAAUUGAGAUAGGAAAGAGAAACUAAAAUUUUAGAACCUGGUCUCCUUCCUAAAGGAAGAAAAUGAAAGCACCUUCACCCCUCCUCCCACACACCUAGUUUUAGUGACAGUGACAUCUAGUUUUAGAGUGGUGAGGACACAUCGCACAUUAGAAUCAUCACAUCCAUGGCCUGGGAGCCAUUGAGAAGUCUCAAGUUCACAGUCAUUAAAAUAGUUCUGCAGGUUCUUUGAUGGUCUCCCACAUCACAUUCCUGUUGUGUUUCCUUUGCAUAUUUUCAUAUUACUAGAAGUUUUUUCUUUAUCAGCUUUCCUAAUACUGAUCUCCCGGUUCUUGGCCAUCUUCCACAAAGUUUUAAUUUCUUCACUGGAAUUACUAGAAGGAGCAGAGGAAACAAUGGGUCAGGAUGAGGUUUUAUUCCCAAUAUUUAACUAUUUAUUUCUAUAGUAAUAGAACAUGAGUCUUUGGUAAAAUGGGGAGAAAAAAGAGAGACAUCAGUGUGUAACCCACUAAAUUUUUUUUAUAACAAUUGGCCAAUAUUGCAAGAUAAAGGUUUACUUACCUGGAAGAUUUGUCAUUGUAAUGACAAUGGACUAGGGAACUGUUGUUUAACUUCAUGCUCUUCCCCUUUGGGCAAGACCUGAAGAAUCUUGGGUUUAUCUUUGCUGCUUCCACUGCCCAGGUAAGCUCAGGACCUCACAGGGCCUGAAGCUUUCCCCACCUCAAGGUCUGUGGAUGGAGAAAACUGCUAGAACUUCUGACUGAGAGUUGUAGCCAAAGGUUAAGGAGGAGAGCAGCAGUAAAAAGAAAACCAAGGGCACCAUGAGGGGGAAGAAGAAGAAAAUGACAUCUGAGAGGUGGGACCCCUGAUGCACUUCAAAGGCAGACUCGGUAUGAGCUGACACAGAUGACUCCAGUGUAAAGGAAAAGAACUGUUGGGAACCAUCCUCCACACUACCUCCUACUCUCAUCUAAUAAGAAUGUUUCCCUGCUGGUAAAAAAGAAAAAUGCAUCCUUCUUACUUUUCCAAGCACUAAGGUUACAGAAAAUAUGUAACUAGAUUUUUUUUUUUACAAAGUAGGUUAGAAAAUAGUAGGAAAUAUAAUAUAUAUACAGUUGGAUGUAUAUAAAGAUUGAAAAGUAGAAAAAGAACAGGCAAGAUGACCAUAAAAUGUCAGUGGGUUAAUCUCUGGGUGAUAGGAUUAUAGAUAUUUUUGUUUUCUUAUUUUUAGCUUAUCAAUAUUGAUAUGGCUUGAAUUUGUGUCCCUGCCCAAAUCUCAUGUCAAACUGUAAUCCCCAGUGUUGGAGGAGGGGCCUGGUGGGAGGUGAUUGGAUCAUGGGAGCAGAUUUCCCUCUUGUUGUUUUCCAAUAGUGAGUUAAGUUCUCACAAGAUCUGGUUAUUUGAAAGUGUGUGGCACCUCCCCGCUGUCUCUCUUCCUCCUGCUCUGGCCGUGUAAGAUGUGCCUGCUUCCACUUCGCCUUCCACCAUGAUUAUAAGUUUCCUGAGGCCUCCUCUCCAUGCUUCCUGAACAGUCUGUGGAACUGUACUAGAUUCUGAGGUCUGAGACUAAAGUCAUUCCAUCAUGAGUUCCAAACUGGACUUGAGAGGGGAAGAAUCAUUUCCUUUGAGAUUGACCAAUACCAGGAGUUUCACUAAAGAAGGCAAUGAAAGACCCACAGCCUUGGACAUAAUUGAUUUCCUGUGAUAUCUGUGUGGGCCCAGGCAUGCUGCUCACCUGGGUCUUUCCCCUCUUUCACUCCUUUGGAACUGCCCCACCACUAACCACUUUCCUACUCUCUCCUUCCCCACCCCAGUAUCUCCUUGCCUCAAGAGUUUCCUGUUACUAGCAAUAAUUUAGUUCACUCCCAGGGAACUACUAUUUCUGGUUCUCAGUUACUAACCUUUCCAUUCAGUUCUUUCCAUUCCAUUUUUACCAGAAUUAACGUUUCCUCAUCUUUCCCAGUGAAUGUAAAAGGUACCUUCUGGGAAGCAUUUUACCGGAACUGAUGACUGCUAUGCUUGACAGCAGCUUCAACAGCCUCGGAUACAACUCAUCAUGAAUUAGCUCUGGCAUGACUGAGUUAGAAUACUGUUCUGUUUCCUAUCUCUACAUGUAGGAAAAAUUUAAAGUGGCAUUUCUAUGCUUUGGUCUUUUCUCAUAAAUGACUUAGGGGAAAACACUUAAUGAGGAUGAGUAACUAAAAUUCAAUGAAUACUAAAAGCUUUAUAAGAAUCAUCUAAUUGAAACUUUACAUAAUUUCCUUAUUAUGUAUUAACAUUGAACGGGCAUUAUGCAUUCCAUUUCUAGAAAAGAAGUCUUUCCUUAAUAAAUUACAAGUGCAAACAUGAA